rnacentral:rRNA from 1 species
CUACGGGUUGCAGCAGUGAGGAAUAUUGCACAAUGGAGGAAACUCUGAUGCAGCAACGCCGCGUGGAGGAUGACGCAUUUCGGUGUGUAAACUCCUUUUAUAUGUCAAGAAAAUGACGGUAGCAUAUGAAUAAGCACCGGCUAACUCCGUGCCAGCAGGCCGCGGUAAUACGGAGGGUGCAAGCGUUACUCGGAAUCACUGGGCGUAAAGGACGCGUAGGCGGGAUAUCAAGUCAGGUGUGAAAUCCUACAGCUUAACUGUAGAACUGCACUUGAAACUGGUAACCUAGGGUAUGGGAGGGGGAGAUGGAAUUAGUGGUGUAGGGGUAAAAUCCGUAGAUAUCACUAGGAAUACCUAAAGCGAAGGCGAUCUCCCGGAACAUAACUGACGCUAAGGCGUGAAAGCGUGGGGAGCAAACAGGAUUAGAUACCCCAGUAGUC